AGUAGACCCUGUGACUUGCAAGUGUAACAAACAUGACUGCACCAAAAUCUGCACCCCAGUCUGCACCCCCGUCUGCACCUCACAUGGAAACUCGAACACAGGUUGUCCGAAAAUCCCAUCUGUUAAUCUCAAGGAGAGGUGUAAAAAAGCUAAAUAUGACAAUGAUACAUGCAGAGAGAAUGAAGGAAGCAAAUACAUUCUGCGUUCAAACGGGAGUGAAUGGAGGUGUGUGACCUGCAAUGAGACAUCUACUGCUUGUAGUCAAGCAAACAAAACCGCCUGUUUCAAACUACCUGAGACAACUUACAAUGUAACAUCAGAAGAUCCAAAGGACAAGGACGGAUUUAUUAAUCCCUCAAA